CAGUCGCCGCGGUAAUACGUAGGGUGCAAGCGUUGUCCGGAUUUAUUGGGCGUAAAGAGCUCGUAGGCGGUUUGUCGCGUCGAAUGUGAAAGCCCGGGGCUUAACCCCGGGUCUGCAUUCGAUACGGGCAGACUAGAGUUCGGUAGGGGAGACUGGAAUUCCUGGUGUAGCGGUGAAAUGCGCAGAUAUCAGGAGGAACACCGGUGGCGAAGGCAGCCCCCUGGGCCAAUACUGACGCUCAUGCACGAAAGCGUGGGGAGCAAACAGGAUUAGAUACCCGCGUAGUCCCUGUCUCUUAUAC
rnacentral:rRNA from 1 species